rnacentral:tRNA from 4 species
ACACUGAUGGUGAAGUGGUUAUCAUGCUUGCCUUCCAAGCAAGCGGCAGGGGUUCGAUUCCCCUUCAGUGUA